AACCACAUGGUGAACAGUAGAUUGUUAAUUACAAAUUAUAUAAAACAAUUACACUUAAACAAUAAAAUAAUUGACAAAAAAAUAUUUAAAUAUUUGAAAAUAUUAAAACUGGAAUUAUAUACAACAACAAUUACUUCUAAAUUAAAACUUUAGACGUUACUGAAAAUUGGGAUCCUCGUGGAUGUUUUCACGAGGCCGAUAAAUCCGCUGUUGGGGAUAAGGUUGCUCCUCGACAUCAAGGAGAUCGUGGGGGUUCUCCCUCCUGAGCUCGAGGUGGUGGAACAGUACUUUCGAGCCUCCUGGCCCUCUACGCCUCCUCGGGUUCAUUUGGAGGCGCCUAACAGCGGAGAGAUUUAGGUCUUAGCUACCAGCCUAAUUGAAAUGGCUGAGGACCGGAUGAGAGCUGACUUGCCGAGGGCCCCCGAGGAGGAUAAAUCAUCUCCAGC